AAGGUGCUUGCUUCCCCUUCACCUUCUGCCAUGACUGUGAGUUUCCUGAGGCCUCCCCAGCCAUGCCUCCUGCACAGCCUGUGGAACCGUGAGUGAAUUAAACUCUUUUCUUCAUAAAUUACCCAGUCUCAGGUAGUUCUUGAUAGCAGUGUGAGAAGGACUAAUAUGCCCUGCUAACUUCAUGAGGAGCGUGUACACUCACUGCUUCCACUUCAGCUAUUUCCAUGCUAGCUAAUUUCCUUCUCAUGCAUGGUGAGACAUGCAUUUCAAUUAUCUUCCUAGUUUCUUCCAACUCUUGCCUAUUUACCUCGUUUGAAAAGUGUUAUUCCCUCUCCUUUCUUGGUCUCUUUUGUAAGCCAAGAAAUAAGCUGUAUUAAGUUUAAUAAAUCUAAGAACAGUUCUACAGAUUUAACUACCCUGGGGUUUGCAAUGAAAUUAAAUUAAACGAAGAACCUAGUUGGCAUCCUCUGAAAUUUGUCAGAAUCUUACACCUGUGGAGUAUAUCAGCAUCCCCACAGAGGUUUCGAUUGCCUCCUUCUGCUCUCCUAAUUAAACCUGCUAUUCUUUUGAAGGCCUGCCUCUCAAAUUAUACAAUCUUUCCAAAAUAACAUCUUACUUAGGAUUAUUGUUUUUAUGAUUGUUUAAAUAGUAAUAUAGAAAAAUAGGGUUUUCUUAUAUCUUUCCUUCGCAAUAAACAAUUUUCAACAAUAUAAUAGCUUAAAUAGGUGAUUGUGAUGUCACCCUUAGGAUAUAAUCACUGCUUGUCACAUCGUUUCUGUAGAAAAACCAACUCACAUAUGAUGAAAUGUGAUGGGGGUGAAAUAACAGCAGUGUGAUUUUCGACCACCAACUUGCCUUGGAAGGGAAUUUGGGGAUGUGCACCGCUGGAAGCCAUGUGUUCUGAUAUGAGAAGAACUUCUUCAGAAGAUGUCUUAAUGCAUAUGGGGAAACUGAGGUCCAGAUUACACAUACAUGAGUUGUCCUGGAAAAUCUCAAGUCAAAGAAGCUGCACUGCAGGAAAUCAAUAUGGUGCAGGCCCCAGGCAAGGCAUCACUGACUAUACUUGCAAGAAACAAAUGCCUGCAAAAAUCAGGACAAGAUGAUUUUGAAGCUGUGCAAAACAGACAUGGCACAGGAGACACAGCAAUAACUAAGUAUGUACAACAAAUCAAAGGAUGGAGCCUCAAACUGAAGCCAAGUCUACCAUAUCUUAUCAAUUUACCCAAUACCAUUGUCUCUCUCUGUAAAGGUUACCCUUUUAUGCACAUAAAUGUGAAUUAGAACAUCUCUGCCCUGCUCCUUUCAGCAGUACAGCUCUGCAAUGACACACGCUGCCAUCCAUUUCACUGGAACAUUUGCCAUAAAGUUGCUUUAAAAGACAUUCUCUUACAAUACUGUCAAUGGCCCUUGCAUUAAAAAUGAGAAAAAUAUGGAAACAUGCAUUAAAAUAUUCAGAAAUAAAUGGCUUUUUUAUUACAUAAAAGCUC
rnacentral:lncRNA from 1 species